rnacentral:rRNA from 1 species
UAACAAGGAUUCCCCUAGUAACUGCGAGUGAAGCGGGAUGAGCUCAAAUUUAAAAUCUGGUGUCCUUUGGUCAUCCGAGUUGUAAUCUGGAGAAGCGUUUUCUGUGUCGGACCGUGUACAAGUCUCUUGGAACAGAGCGUCAUAGAGGGUGAGAAUCCCGUCCAUGACACGGACUACCGAUGCUAUGUGAUACGCUCUCGAAGAGUCGAGUUGUUUGGGAAUGCAGCUCAAAAUGGGUGGUAAAUUCCAUCUAAAGCUAAAUAUUGGCGAGAGACCGAUAGCGAACAAGUACCGUGAGGGAAAGAUGAAAAGCACUUUGGAAAGAGAGUUAAACAGUACGUGAAAUUGUUGAAAGGGAAACGCUUGAAGUCAGUCGCGUCGUUUGGGACUCAGCCUUGCUUUUGCUUGGUGUAUUUCCCGUUCGACGGGUCAACAUCGAUUUUGACCGGCGGAUAAAGGCGGGGGGAAUGUGGCACCUUCGGGUGUGUUAUAGCCCUCUGUCGCAUGCGUCGGUUGGGAUCGAGGACCGCAGCGCGCCACUAGGCCGAGAGGUACGCCUCUACGUUCCGCGCUUAGGAUGUUGGCAUAAUGGCUUUAAGCGACCCGUCUUGAAACACGGACCAAGGAGUCUAACAUGCUCGCGAGUGUUAGGGUGGAAAACCCUUGCGCGUAAUGAAAGUGAAAGUUGGGACCCUUGUCAUGAGGGGCACCGACGCCCGGCCCAGACCUUCUGCGACGGUGCUGCGGUAGAGCGCGUAUGUUGGGACCCGAAAGAUGGUGAACUAUGCCUGAAUAGGGCGAAGCCAGAGGAAACUCUGGUGGAGGCUCGUAGCGAUUCUGACGUGCAAAUCGAUCGUCAAAUUUGGG